rnacentral:rRNA from 1 species
AUGUGACCCCAGGAUGGGCGGGGUGACCCGCUGAGUUUAAGCAUAUCAAUAAGCGGAGGAGAAGAAACUUACGAGGAUUUCCCUA